AUGGGUGAUGUUGAGAAAGGCAAGAAGAUUUUUGUUCAGAAGUGUGCCCAGUGUCACACCGUGGAAAAGGGAGGCAAGCACAAGACUGGGCCUAAUCUCCAUGGUCUCUUCAGUCAGAAGACAGGUCAGGCUGUUGGAUUCUCUUACACAGAUGCCAAUAAGAACAAAGGCAUCAUCUGGGGAGAGGAUACGCUGAUGGAGUAUUUGGAAAAUCCCAAGAAGUACAUCCCUGGAACAAAAAUGAUCUUUGCCGGCAUUAAAAAGAAGGCAGAAAAGGCCGACUUGACAGCUUAUCUCAAAAAAGCUACUAAUGAGUAA
rnacentral:lncRNA from 1 species